GAGAGAGAGAGACAGAGACAGAGAGAGAGACAGAGAGAGAGACAGAGAGAGAGAGUUGUGUGAUUCGGGCCAGGGUGAGGCAGGGAAUUGGGAAGGGAAUUGAAAGGCUGAUCUCAUUAGCACUUUCUUCCUCAGUCAGCCCCAGGCCAGCAGGCAGAGCUGAUCUAGGCACAACAGUGGGACACUGAGAAAGCCCAGGCCCCCUGCAAGGAAGGUCUGGGGAACAGCUAGGAAGGAGGAUUCAGGAGGCUGACUCCCUUGCCCACCUGACCACGGAUUUCUUCCCAGCGCCACUGUGCUUGGACUCUUUGGUUCCCGAAAGGACCAAGGAGUGACCCGCGGCAGGCCACCUGCAGCAGCAGCAGAAACAGAAGCAGCAGCAGCAGCAGCAGCAGCAGCAGCUCCCGGGUAGCUGGGCUUGCUGCCCCCCUUGCCCCACAGCACGCUCUGCAUUUUCUUAGGGGAAGAGAUGCCCUGCUCUCCCACGCCCUGCCUUUCCACAACCGAAGACAGUCCUCGCGGAGCCGAGGACAGGGAAGAGCCUGUCACGUGACGGUAAUUCUCCCUGACUUGGAACUUCGAGUGUCUGGGAGUGUCCCCGGGAUCCUCGGGUCUGCUGGGCUUGGCCUGGCCUCCUCCUCUGCGGGCGCCAGUAUAACAGUGAUGAACAGCCGCCUCUGCCCUCCCUAUAGACAUAGUGCCCUCCCUACCAUUCAAAGGCCUGAAUCAUCUCACAGGCCACAAGUAAGACCCUCCACUGGGAUAUUUUUCAAGGUACGUAUGGAUAAAACCUUAAGGAAUCAGGAGGUAACCUUGUGCUAGAGAUUAUCCAUGCCCCACAUAACACUCAAAAUGGUACGCUCUUUGUCAUUUGGGCAGUGAGUGAGCUGGUCCAUAAACCCCAUCUUAUAGCUAACUUCUCAGACCACUCCUGGUACCACUUUUGUUAG